ACACUGCUCCCUGUCACAAAUUUCAUUCUCCCUCAAAAAAUUCCCGACUUUCCCCCAAAAAUUUCAAUCUCCCUUACGAAAAUUUUACUCUACACGCCCUCAAUUGCAAUCGAACUCCAAACUCUAUCUUCUCUCUCUCCUGUCUCCUCCAUCUGGUAUGUUCUCAGUCCCUCUUCUUCCACAUCUCCUCUUGUUUUGAUCUUUUCUAUCUUCACUGCUAGCUCCAUCUCUAAUCCCUCCUCUCACAACUCUUGGUAUCAUGGCUCUCUCUCUCUUUCUGACAACUCUCUCUCAGAUUCUGCAAUAGCAAGGUUAGGGUUUCAGUUUUCAAAAAAUUUCAUUUUGUAUUAAUCUGAAACUCGUCAUCUCCUUCUCCUUAGUUCAACAGAUUUUCUCCUCCCAGAUCUCGCCCAAUGGCAGUCAGGAAAUUGGGGAAAAAACUGAAGUUGAAAGACCUGUUGGUAAUGGAUUAUGAUGGAAUUUGAUUUUCUGAUUCUGGGUCUUGGUGGUGAUGGAUUAUUGCAAAGAUUAGUUCAACACCAGCCGACGCAGUAUCCGACAUCAGAAGAGUUAAGCAUUGGGAAAAUCAAGUUCAAGGCUUUUGAUUUGGGUGGCCAUCAGAUUGCUCGCAGAGUUUGGAAAGAUUAUUAUGCCAAGGAAAUUGGGGAAAAAACUGAAGUUGAAAGACCUGUUGGUGAUGGAUUAAGAUGGAAUUUGAUUUUCUGAUUCUGGGUCUUGGUGGUGAUGGAUUAUUGCAGAGAUUAGUUCAACCCCAGCCGACGCAGUAUCCGACAUCAGAAGAGUUAAGCAUUGGGAAAAUCAAGUUCAAGGCUUUUGAUUUGGGUGGCCAUCAGAUUGUUCGCAGAGUUUGGAAAGAUUAUUAUGCCAAGGCCAGAGCUCUUUUCUGUUUUAGCACAGAAGCUUCAAUCAACAGAUGUUCUUUCUUCCCACAGGAUUUUUUUGACUCUCUUUCGAACUUUGAAGGAAUUGUCCACUAAGCGACUGAUCUCAGACCAAAAGAACUUCGCAGAGGUAUAGGCUACAGUACUAUUUCCUCCAUUUUUCUACAACACAGGAUGUCUUCCAUUUUCUCGAAUUAUUGUAUUAUGAAAUCAACAAUGUGUUGAGGUGUGGUCAGGUGUUGGUGUUAAAACCUUAUUCGGGUGGUUAAGGAGGCUUGGGUUUCUAAAUGUGUCUUCCGUAUGGCAUUAAAAGGUUAUUCAUGUGUGGGAUUAAGCUAGAUAUCCCUUUUUUCUGUUUUCAUUCCUGUAAUAGUUAAACAUAGAUAUCAUUUUGUGGUUUUCAUUCUUGUGCAACAGUAAAAUAUUCCUUGAGCUGCCAAUCAUAUCUUUGAAGGAGCAGUCUUUUCUAAUUGAGAUUUUAAUUCUCUGUUAAUCUGGUUAAUUUGUUUUAGUCUCUGAGCAGGCGACGUGUAGUGUUAAUCUGUUGCCUUAAUUGUAAAGGAGCACAUGGCCCGUAAAUGUGGACAGCCCCUGUGACAUGGAUUUUUUUUUAUAGUCUGGAUGUAUGCUCUCGUGAAGUGUGACAAGCUACCAAUAAAAAUUUCUAAGAAAUUUCAGAAUGACUAAAAACAUUUUUUUUCUCUCUUACUAAUGAGUUCAAAGGUCAUUUGUUGAAGAAGAUUCUGAUUGACUCGAUUUCUGAGCUUUAUUAGGUGUAGUGUGGAGCAUUGUUGU